UUUGGGAAAUUGAAGUCAUGGUUGAAGGGAUCAAAGGUUAUUGUUCUUGAUAUCCCUUUAUUGUUCGAGACCAAGAUGGAUAGAUGGACCAGGCACAUUAUUGUUGUUUGGGUCGAUCCUGAAACACAGCUUCAGACUCAUGUUGGGAGACAGAACAAGUGAGGAUGAUGCUUGUAACCGCAUGAAUGCUCAAGUAUCACUCGACUUAAAGAGGUCGAAGGCAGACAUAUUGAUUGAUAACACUGGAUCGCAUGAGAAUUUGAAAGAGAAUUUCAGAAGUGUGCUAUUUGAGGUCACAAAGCCCUUGUCAUGGACUGAACUUUGUCUCUCCCGCCAAGGAAUAGUGGAGUAGAGUUACAUUCAGCUCCUCCUAGACCCUAGUUUCCAUUAGAUGACGAAGAAACCAGAAGCAUUCAAAGUGAGAAAAACUAAAGAUUUUUGAGUCACUCAGUCGGGACAGCUCAUUAUAUCAUGUUGACUCCAAAUGUUGAGAGAUUCUUUUUUUGGUUGUCGUCAGUCGGGACAAGUGCUCAUUGUUUUUCGACACCGAGUAUUAAGUGCCUAGUGUCACAUACCUA